AUGAACGCUGGCGGCGUGCCUCAUACAUGCCCGUCGAGCGAACAGACGAGGAGCUUGCUCCUCUGACGUUAGCGGCGGACGGGUGAGUAACACGUGGAUAACCUACCUAUAAGACUGGGAUAACUUCGGGAAACCGGAGCUAAUACCGGAUAAUAUAUUGAACCGCAUGGUUCAAUAGUGAAAGACGGUUUUGCUGUCACUUAUAGAUGGAUCCGCGCCGCAUUAGCUAGUUGGUAAGGUAACGGCUUACCAAGGCAACGAUGCGUAGCCGACCUGAGAGGGUGAUCGGCCACACUGGAACUGAGACAUGGUCCAGACUCCUACGGGAGGCAGCAGUAGGGAAUCUUCCGCAAUGGGCGAAAGCCUGACGGAGCAACGCCGCGUGAGUGAUGAAGGUCUUCGGAUCGUAAAACUCUGUUAUUAGGGAAGAACAAAUGUGUAAGUAACUAUGCACGUCUUGACGGUACCUAAUCAGAAAGCCACGGCUAACUACGUG
rnacentral:rRNA from 1 species